rnacentral:rRNA from 1 species
UACGUAGGGUCCAAGCGUUAUCCGGAAUCACUGGGCGUAAAGCGUGCGUAGGUGGAUGUUUAAGUGAGAGGUUAAAUCGUGUGGCUCAACCAUAUCGAUGCCUCUCAUACUGGGCAUCUAGAGGACAGCAGAGGCAAGUGGAACUGGUAGUGUAGCAGUGAAAUGCGUAGAUAUUACCAAGAACACCAAUGGCGAAGGCAGCUUGCUGGGCUACUCCUGACACUGAGGUACGAAAGCGUGGGGAGCGAACGGG